UUCGCCCUUAAACCUCCGCGCGCGGCGGGCGGGGCGGGGGCACGGGGGGCCUACGGGAGGCAGCAGUCGGGAAUUUGGGCAAUGGGCGAAAGCCUGACCCAAGCAACGCCGCGUGAAGGAUGAAGUAUUUCGGUAUGUAAACUUCGAAAGAAUGGGAAGAAUCAAUGACUGGUACCAUUUAUAAGGUCCGGCUA
rnacentral:rRNA from 1 species